GAGUUUGAUCGUGGCUCAGAUUGAACGCUGGCGGCAUGCCUUACACAUGCAAGUCGAACGGCAGCACGGGAGCUUGCUCCUGGUGGCGAGUGGCGAACGGGUGAGUAAUGCAUCGGAACGUAUCCUGGAGUGGGGGAUAACGUAGCGAAAGUUACGCUAAUACCGCAUAUUCUGUGAGCAGGAAAGCGGGGGACCUUCGGGCCUCGCGCUCUUGGAGCGGCCGAUGUCGGAUUAGCUAGUUGGUGAGGUAAAGGCUCACCAAGGCGACGAUCCGUAGCAGGUCUGAGAGGAUGAUCUGCCACACUGGAACUGAGACACGGUCCAGACUCCUACGGGAGGCAGCAGUGGGGAAUUUUGGACAAUGGGGGCAACCCUCGAUCCAGCCAUGCCGCGUGAGUGAGAAGGCCUCGG
rnacentral:rRNA from 1 species